ensembl:lincRNA
GAAACAAUCAUUCAUUUUAUUCCUAUUUUACAGAGGAGGAAAUUGAGAUUCACUGAAGGAGAAAGAUUACACUUCUUUCACUUCGGCCUGAGCUAAGAAAAAUGUGCUUCUGUUUAUUCCCCCAAGAUGACAACUUAAGUCUUUGAGUCUAUCAGUUCCAGGCAAGGGUCAAGCUCCACAGGACCAGCCAUCAGGGAAAUAACAUGACUUGUUAUUUCCAGACUAUGUUCAGAACAGCUGGUCAUGCUCCCUCUCUCGGACAAUAGAACUUGAAUGAGUCUAAAGAGGCCCAGAGCUUCAAAACAAAAAGUUUACCGGUAGGAGUGAAGGUAAGAUAAUGUCACUGC